UUUCUGGGAAGGGCGGGACGCUCCCCAAAGGGAGGACUACGAAUCCCAGCAAGCAGUGCAGUGAGGGCGCCGGAGGAGGAGCUCGGAGCCGUCGGGCCCCGUCGAAGCAGGCAGUGGCAGCUCCCGGCGUGGGUCACCAUGGGGAAGCGUUACUUCUGCGACUACUGUGACCGGUCCUUCCAGGACAACCUCCACAACCGCAAGAAGCACCUGAACGGCCUGCAGCACCUGAAGGCCAAGAAGCUCUGGUACGACAUGUUCCGAGACGCAGCUGCCAUCUUGCUGGAUGAGCAGAACAAGAGGCCCUGCCGGAAGUUUCUCCUGACAGGCCAGUGCGACUUUGGCUCCAACUGCAGAUUCUCCCACAUGUCAGAGCGAGACCUGCAGGAGCUGAGCGUCCAGGUGGAGGAGGAGAGGCGGGCCAGGGAAUGGCCGCUGGACGUCGCUGAGCUUCCUGAGGUCCGCCUGGAGGACUGGCUGGAGAAGCGAGCCAAGCGGCUGAGCUCCGCCCCAAGCAGCAGGUCACGGCCAAGGCCAGAGCCGGGGCUCCUGGGGCCUUCCCCCAGGUAUUGAGAGAGAAGGGAGGAAGAGGGCUACGGGAUGUGCUCGGGAGCUGCCCGACGUGGUGAGGUCGCCCGCGCCCAGCUGCACCGGGGCUCCAGAACCGGUGAUGUCUGCGGUGGCACCUCAUGGUCAGUGGCCCGGCUGGCACAGUCAAUGGGGUGAGGCCUCCCCUUGAGGCUCCAACAGGAGCACCGCCACGACUCUUAUGUUGGAGCGUGACAGCCCCUCCCUCUGGCCCCGUCAGGAGCGGUUAUGACCUUGGAGGUCCAUCCUCCACACAACCACCCCAACCAGCUUCUAGAACAUUCCCUGGCCCCAGCCCCUGCUGAAACGCUCUGGGCCUCCUCCCUCUCAGGGGAGCCUGGACUCCGCCGCCCACCUCGAAGGGCCCUGGCUAACUCUCUGCCGCCUCCGUGGCCCGUGGGGGUCACCUUCUCACCUCCCCCGUCUCGUCAGGAUGCUUGGCGGCUUCUCAGAUGUGGUGGGCGUGCCUGAUUUUGGGGCGCCUUGUGCUACUUCCUCAGCCUGGAACUGCCCCCCGCCCCCCCAUGUCUGCCUGGCAGAGUCAGACUCAUCCUUCAAGCUUUAGCUGGGACGUCUCCCCUCCCCGGCCUGCCCCGCCCUGGGCCUCCCCCUCACGGCCCGGAGCUCAGGCGGAGCUCAGGCGUCAGCAAUGUGGUGCGGCCCCGGGACACGCUGGCUGAGAGCAUCUGGGGAGAGGGGCCCGCCCUGCGGACCACGGGCUGAGCCCGUGAGAGCCACCGUGUUCCAGUACCCCGUGGGCUGGCCGCCAGUCCAGGAGCUGCCUCCGUCCCUGCGGGCACCCCCGCCUGGGGGGUGGCCCCUUCAGCCCAGCGUCCACUGGGGCUGAGCCCCUC